GACGAACGCUGGCGGCGUGCUUAACACAUGCAAGUCGAACGGAAAGGCCCUUCGGGGUACUCGAGUGGCGAACGGGUGAGUAACACGUGGGUGAUCUGCCCUGCACUUUGGGAUAAGCCUGGGAAACUGGGUCUAAUACCGAAUAGGACUACGGCCUUCAUGGGUUGUGGUGGAAAGCUUUUGCGGUGUGGGAUGGGCCCGCGGCCUAUCAGCUUGUUGGUGGGGUAAUGGCCUACCAAGGCGACGACGGGUAGCCGGCCUGAGAGGGUGACCGGCCACACUGGGUCUGAGAUACGGCCCAGACUCCUACGGGAGGCAGCAGUGGGGAAUAUUGCACAAUGGGCGCAAGCCUGAUGCAGCGACGCCGCGUGAGGGAUGACGGCCUUCGGGUUGUAAACCUCUUUCAGCAGGGACGAAGCGCAAGUGACGGUACCUGUAGAAGAAGGACCGGCCAACUACGUGCCAGCCGCCGCGGUAAGAC
rnacentral:rRNA from 1 species